UUAAAUGAGAGUUUGAUCCUGGCUCAGGACGAACGCUGGCGGCGUGCCUAACACAUGCAAGUCGAGCGAAGUAAUUAUCUUUGAU
rnacentral:ncRNA from 1 species